rnacentral:rRNA from 1 species
AACGAACGCUGGCGGCAUGCCUAACACAUGCAAGUCGAACGAGACCUUCGGGUCUAGUGGCGCACGGGUGCGUAACGCGUGGGAACCUGCCCUUAGGUUCGGAAUAACUCCCCGAAAUGGGUGCUAAUACCGGAUAAUGUCUUCGGACCAAAGAUUUAUCGCCUUUGGAUGGGCCCGCGUUGGAUUAGCUAGUUGGUAGGGUAAAAGCCUACCAAGGCGACGAUCCAUAGCUGGUAUGAGAGGAUGAUCAGCCACACUGGGACUGAGACACGGCCCAGACUACUACGGGAGGAAGCAGUGGGGAAUAUUGGAAAAUGGGCGAAAGCAUGAUCCAGCAAUGCCGCGUGAGUGAUGAAGGCAUUAGGGUUGUAAAGCUCUUUUACACGGGAUGAUAAUGACAGUACCGGGAGAAUAAGCCCCGGCUAACUCCGUG